rnacentral:tRNA from 1 species
GGGCCCGUAGCCUAGCCUGGAUAGGGCGCCGGCCUCCGGAGCCGGAGAUCCCGGGUUCAAAUCCCGGCGGGCCCG